UUUUUUUUUUUUUUGGAUCUGGGGACCGAACCCAGGGCCUUGCACUACCACUGAGCUAAAUCCCCAACCUCAAGCCUAUACUCUUGUUCCCAAUACAGACCCACAUGUGGUUCACUCUAAGUUGAGCGGGCAUUACUUAUGGUAUCACACAUGUCAUGGCAUAAGGAUAUUAACUGUUUGGGGUCAAGAAUGUGGAUUCAGUUGGUCUGGUUACACGGGACCAUUUCCAGACUUGUAUCUACUUCUUAAUGGGGGAUCACUGUGGGUUGAAACAAGUAUAUUGAUCUCCUAGUUGGCAGAUGGAACAAGUAGUCUUAUUAUGUCUGCAGGCCCCUAAGACCUUUUCUUGGCAAGUGAAACGGGUGUGAUAAAGUAAGGUUUUCAUGAUGGCUUGGUCAUGUGGAGUAUUGCAGAUUUCAUGAGACAGACUUAAGUGUAGAAAAAAGGCUCAGAUGGGUAACAACCAGUAGCAGUGAAUUAUCGUGCCCACAAGAGGGAAAAGAAGAGAAGUCACUUGCCAUGUUUCUAGUUGACGAGUGCAGUCUCUGCCAAUCCUAUGGCAAAGAUGAGGGCAAGGGUCACAGUAACAGAUCAUGGGCAAGGGAUGACAAGGACAGUAAGAGAACCGAUAUAGGAAACAGUUUCUUUAUGUCACCAGAUAGAUGGCUCUCCUCAAGCUGCUGUCACAUAGCUGAGUCUGCCCCUGGCUGACUAAAGUGGGGCUGCAGUCCUCUGUGGUCUCUGGCCCACAGUUCUCUUCCUCCAGAUGACUGUGUGCUGUGAUGAGCCAUCCGUUCAUUCUCGUCUCCAGAAGCUGGUUUCUCUCCGCUGUGGUGAAUGUAGAUCCCACCAUUACUACACCGUGGAUAAAGUGGCAGUGAAUGGAUCCUCCAAAGGGACUUUAGGGAUUGGCCAUCCCAUUCUUUUACCCACAUAGCAUCUCCAUUUGUGGUUAAGCUCCCUGCUUGGAUGGUAUAUAGUAACCCAGGAUAAGCCAAGAGCCUGCAUUUGUUGUCUCAGGGUAAUGUUGCCCAACCCCUGUAUAAUCUGAUAAGGGAAGGCAGGAGUCCAUAAAGGAUAAGAGGAGAACCCUCUGUGUCUAGUAGGGCCAGAUCUAAUACUUAACCAAGCAAUUGGCAACAGCUGGUCCCAGACUGGAGGACACUCAGUGAAGUCCACAACUAUAUUUUCAAAUGGGGCUCUUCCAACACUCUGUACCCUAGAAGAGACAUUAGGUCCACAACUCAGGUUACUUUGGGUACACAUUUCACAUUGUAUACCACCUGGGCUAUGCUGGAGAGUCAAAGGAUGUAGAAAGGUCAUCUCAAUGAGUCUUUAAGAACUUCCCACGUGAAGUAGGUCUUCUGGUGCAACUGCUUGACACCACCUGAGACUGGUCUCAGGAAUUAGCCAUUUUCAAAUCCCCAGCAUCCACCUGGGAAACAGAUCUCACUUUCAGUCUUAAACUGAGUGUUCAUGAAGUGAGUUGCUGGGCUCCCGUUCUGCCAAUGGACUAAGUCAGUGCAUAGGGCACAGCUCCCUAUGCAUAGGUCCUAUUGUUCCUUCGAAGGCUACAUGCUUCAUUUCUCAGUCUUCUUUAGUUUCUUCCCUUGAUGCUCUCCAAAGCAUACAACUGUCACCUAAAACUCAGUGGUAGAGCGCUUACCUAGGAAGCACAAGGCCCUGGGUUCGGUCCCCAGCUCCGAAAAAAAAAAAGAACCAAAGAAAGAGUCCACGGGUAUACAGACAUACACCUUAACUGCAGUGGCAGGGCCCAGGUCAGUGAGAAGCUCUGCCUUUGGCAGAGAUUUCAACUCAGUGACGAAAGUCAAGCUGACCAUGGAGUACCCUGGAAGAUAUCCUCCCUCGUUCACAAACUGCCACCAUUGGUGAAAUACCCAGCAUCCAACUGGUUAGAGAAUACUCAUCCAUGACUGGUGCAGUCAUGGUCUUGAUGGUCUAGACCAACAAACACUGGGGUCUUGAGGUUUGAGGUCCACAGUACUUCUAGGUGAAUGCAAGUUCUCACACAUUUCCUGGUAGCUGAUCAUCUGGGCAUUAGUUAGCCAGUAUUGUCCCUUGUAUUCCAUUGUCUUUUUUUUUUUUUUUAAGAUUUUUUAUGUGUAUGAGCACACUGUAGCUGUUUUCAGACACACCAACAGAGGGCACCAGAUCUCACUAUAAUGGUCAUGAACCACCAUGUGGGUGCUGGGGUUUGAACUCAGAACCUCUGGAAGAGCAGACAGUGCUCUUAACCGCUGAGCCAUCUCUCCGGUCCUCCUUGUAUCUCAUUGUCAACACUGUGAGUGUGGGGCUGAGAGUAUUAAUUCUCUUCCCACAAUCAAUCUGUCAAUCUUUGACACUAUAUGACAAAGGCGGUGAGUGCCUAGAGCCAGGCAGCCAGCCUGGCACAAUGGAGUUAAGCUGCUUGGAAAGGUCUGCCACUGGGCAAUGCCAUGACAGCAACACUUGGGUCAGGACCCCUACCUAAUGCCAGCACGCUCAUGCAUGCAUGAGUGUGGAUAUCUGGAUGUCCUAAGGUCGGGCACAUUGGUGAGGGUUUUCUCAAUCUCUUCAAAAGCCUUCUGUUGUCCUUGUUCCCAUAGCAAAGGGUCUUGCUCUCCUGCUUUGUGGCAUCAUAAAGUUGUUUUGACAAGAUGAGAAAUUAGGUAUCCAGAUUCUCUGUGGCCCAGAGGAACUCCCAAACCUAGCAUUAGGUGGAUGAACUUUCACCACCAGCCUGCUUUCUCUUUGAGACAGCCAAGGCAUCUGACUCAUUCUUGGCAGACUUGUGUCUUUUUUUUUUCUUCUUUUAAACCAUGUGGCCACCUCCCACAGGAGGGUAAGGAGCAAUUGUUUUAAUUCCUAAUAAUCUUCCUGUACCCAUCUGAAUGCAGUGUCCAGUCAUGCUGGUUUGAUGGAAAAGCUUCUAAAAGAGAGGCUAACUCGUGGCUGGGGAUUUAGCUCAGUGGUAGAGCGCUUACCUAGGAAGCGCAAGGCCCUGGGUUCGGUCCCCAGCUCCAAAAAAAAGAACCAAAAAAAAA
ensembl:lncRNA